UACGGGGGGAGCAAGCGUUGUUCGGAUUUACUGGGCGUAAAGGGCGCGUAGGCGGCCAGCACAAGUCAGUUGUGAAAUCUCCGAGCUUAACUCGGAAAGGUCAACUGAUACUGUGCGGCUAGAGUGCGGAAGGGGCAACUGGAAUUCUUGGUGUAGCGGUGAAAUGCGUAGAGAUCAGGAAGAACACCAGUGGCGAAGGCGCUCUGCUAGGCCGUAACUGACACUGAGGGACGAAAGCUAGGGGAGCGAAUGGG
rnacentral:rRNA from 1 species